GACGAACGCUGGCGGCGUGCUUAACACAUGCAAGUCGAACGGUAAGGCCCUUCGGGGUACACGAGUGGCGAACGGGUGAGUAACACGUGGGUGAUCUGCCCUGCACUUCGGGAUAAGCCUGGGAAACUGGGUCUAAUACCGGAUAGGACUCCUGGCUUCAUGGUUGGGGGUGGAAAGCUUUUGCGGUGUGGGAUGGGCCCGCGGCCUAUCAGCUUGUUGGGGGGGUAAUGGCCUACCAAGGCGACGACGGGUAGCCGGCCUGAGAGGUUGACCGGUCACAGUGGGACUGAGAUACGGCCCAGACUCCGACGGGAGGCAGCAGUGGGGAAUAGUGCACAAUGGGCGCAAGCCUGAUGCAGCGACGCCGCGUGAGGGAUGACGGCCUUCGGGUUGUAAACCUCUUUCAGCUAUGACGAAGCGCAAGUGACGGUAGUAGCAGAAGAAGGACCGGCCAACUACGUGCCAGCCGCCGCCGUAA
rnacentral:rRNA from 1 species